CAGUCGCCGCGGUAAUACGAAGGGUGCAAGCGUUACUCGGAAUUACUGGGCGUAAAGCGCGCGUAGGUGGUGGUUUAAGUCCGUUGUGAAAGCCCUGGGCUCAACCUGGGAAUUGCAGUGGAUACUGGGUCACUAGAGUGUGGUAGAGGAUAGUGGAAUUUCCGGUGUAGCAGUGAAAUGCGUAGAGAUCGGAAGGAAUAUCUGUGGCGAAGGCGACUAUCUGGGCCAACACUGACACUGAGGCACGAAAGCGUGGGGAGCAAACAGGAUUAGAUACCCCAGUAGUCCCUGUCUCUUAUAC
rnacentral:rRNA from 1 species